rnacentral:rRNA from 1 species
GACGAACGCUGGCGGCGUGCCUAACACAUGCAAGUCGUACGGGACCGGGGGCAACUCCGGUUCAGUGGCAGACGGGUGCGUAACACGUGAGGAACUUGUCCGGUGGCGGGGGAGUAGCCGGCCCAACGGCCGGGUAAUACCGCAUACGCUCGUUCGGGGGCAUCCCUGGGCGAGGAAAGCAGCCGCAAGGUUGCGCCGACGGAGGGCCUCGCGACCUAUCAGCUUGUUGGCGGGGUAACGGCCCACCAAGGCGACGACGGGUAGCUGGUCUGAGAGGAUGAUCAGCCACAUUGGGACUGAGACACGGCCCAGACUCCUACGGGAGGCAGCAGUGGGGAAUAUUGCGCAAUGGCCGCAAGGCUGACGCAGCGACGCCGCGUGUGGGAUGACGGUCUUCGGAUGUAAACCACUGUCAGGGGGAACGAAUACAGGGCUUCGAUAAGGAGACCCUGGGUGACGUACCUCCAAAGGAAGCACCGGCUAACUCCGUGCCAGCAG